rnacentral:siRNA from 1 species
AGAAUGUUAGGGUAAGACUUC